AGGGACUUCUGCUCUGCCCCCCUGGGCCAGGUGACACACUUUCCUUGGUCAAGGUCUUCGUGACAUCCGCGUCAGUCCCGGACACACCCCUUAUUUUGCCGACCAUUUCUGGGGCGACUACCCUUCGCGAUGUCGUCGGCGAAGAUCCUAUUGAGUGGAGCUACAAGGACCUCAUGCGCCGGGCUUGAAAUGUUGGUACCGAUACACCCAUGUUAAUUGCCCCGUUUGUCAUAUGGAUUGAAUGUCGAACCUGUCUUUGGAUGGAUUGUGUUGAGUUUUUGUUGAACUAUGUCUGGAAUUGAUGCGUAGACCUUUGUGGUUUGAAUUCGUAUGGUGAAAAAUGUGCCUAAUGGGAUUGAUGGAUAACCGUAUUUGCUUAUUGCGUUGUUUACUU